AUUCAGCUGACGAAUCCUAAAUAAGACGAAACGUUCAUCAUGGAU
rnacentral:hammerhead_ribozyme from 1 species